UCCCAGCAAGGCAGCACAGGGUGGCCAGAGCUGCUUUUGCUGUAGGUGAGGUUGUGUCCCAGGCUUCUCUGGGGCUUUGUGCUCUUGUGCACCUCUGUGCUGAGGCCUGUGCUUGCUUGUCAGGGUCCAAGGUGAACAUUGCAGGCUGAGCAGCACAGCCCAGGAGCAAGCCAGGAGCACUGCAGCCCUUCAUAAAGACCUGCAAGCUGCUGCCUCGUGCCUGUGGAUGCCUUGGCCAGAAGGUGCAGCUCCAUACUGCAGCGAGCAGACCUCCAAAGAUGAACGUCCAGGACUCAGAAGGGACUCACUGCCACUGCCCAGAGACGGAGGACCUGGCCUCGAUGGCAAGCUGCAGGGAGGCAUUCCUGGCUGGAGCGUGGCAAAGAGAGUUGGCCGUGGGCAGGCACAAGGUAGCAGGCCUGGCUGUGUGCUGCUCUCCAGCAGUGCCCCUGAGUGGAAGCGGAGCUGAGCCCAGCUCUGCUGUGCCCCCGUGCAGGGAGCUGCCUGCGAGCAGAGCCAGGCCUGGCACUGGAGCUUGCAAGGUGCUUCUGCACAUCAGCCCCUGGGCUUCCAGAGCUGCACAGGGCCUGGCAGGUGCAGGCUGCCUGCAGUGCCCCU